UUCUUUCUAGAAACACUUUCCAGUACCUCUACUUUGUUACGACUUAUUUCAAUUUAUUAAUGAAAGCGACGGGCAAUAUGUACAUAUUUUAAUUUAUAAUCAUUUUAUUAAAUUAAAUAAAAUUACAUUUAAAUCCACCUUCAAAUAUUUAUUUCAAAAUAUUAUUCAUUUAAUUACAUUUAUUAUUGUAAUCCAUCAUAUUCUUAAUUAUUAUCUGCAUCUUGAUCUGAAUUAAUUUUUUAUUUUAAUUUUUAAAUAUUAUUUUUAUUAAAAAAUAUUUUUUUAACAACGAUAUACAAAAUUAAAUAUUAAGUAAAUUUAUUCGUGGAUUAUCAAUUAUUAGACAGAUUCCUCUAAAUGAACUAAAAUACCGCCAACUUAUUUAAGUUUCAAUAAAUUAUUACAUACUAUUUUAGUUUUUAUUUUUAAUUUUUAAUAAUAGGGUAUCUAAUCCUAGUUUUUUAUAAAAUCUUAUAAAACAUAAUAUUAAUUUAAAAUUUAUAUUAAAUUAAAAUUUCACCUAAUAAUUUAAUAUUUAAUUUUUAAUUUAUUAUUAAUUAUUAACUAAUAAAAUUUAAAUUAUAUUUUGUAUAACCGCAACUGCUGGCACAAAAUUUGUUUAUAAUAAAAAUAUUACUAAAUCUUAAUUUCUUAAAUUUUUAAUAUUAAUUACUACUUUUAUUAUAUAAUAUUUUUAAAAUAAUAUAAAAUUCAUACUAAAAUUUAUAUGUAAAAUAAAUUUAAAUUAAAUUUAAUAAAUCAUAAUAUUUA
rnacentral:rRNA from 1 species